rnacentral:rRNA from 1 species
GGUUCGAUUAUGGCUCAGAUUGAACGCUGGCGGGAUGCUUUACAUGCAAGUCGGGCAGCAGCUGAACUCAGAUGCUGGUGGCAGAGUGGCGAACAGGUGAUAAUGUAUCGGAACACGAUGCCUAGUAGCGGGGGAUAACUACGCGAAAGCGUAACUAAUACCUGCGCCCUUCGAGGGGAAAGCGGGGGGACCUUCGGGCUCCGCACUAUUAAACGGCCGAUAUCCGGAUUAGCCUAGUUGGUGGGGUAACGGCUCACCAAGGCGACGAUCCGUAGCUGGUUUGAAGGACGACCAGCCACACUGGGACUGAGACUGUACGGCCCAGACUCCUGCAGGAGGCAGCAGUGGGGAAUUUGGACAAAGUAGGGGAAACCCUGAUCCAGCCAUCCGCGUGUGCGAUGAGGCCUUCGGGUUGUAAGCACUUUUGGCAGGAAAGAAACAGCACGGAGAUAAUACCCAGUGCUGCUGCUGUGCCAAUACCUACAGAAUAAACGCCCUGCUAGCUAACUACGUGCCAGCAGCCGCGGUAAUGGUAAGUGCAAGCGUUAAUCGGAAUUACUGGGCGUAAAGAAGGCGCAGGCGGUUCGGAAAGAAAGAUGUGAGAAAUCCCAGAGCUUAACUUUGGAACUGCAUUUUUAACUACCGAGCUAGAGUGUGUAGAGGAAGUGGGAAUUCCGCACACGAUAACUUGAUAGAAAUGCGUAGAUAUGCGGAGGAACACCGAUGGCGAAGGCAGCCUCCUGGGAUAACGCGGCGCUCAUGCACGAAAGCGUGGGAGGCAAACAGGAUUAGAUGCCCUGGUGGUCCGCCUAAACGAUGUCAACUUCUGCUUCUGGCCAGAGACCACUUCGGGCGCGGUAGCGCAAUAACGCGUGAAGUUGACCGCCUGGGGGAGUACGGUCGCAGGUCAAACUCAAGGAAUUGACGGGGACCCGCACAAGCGGUGGAUGAUGCGGAUUAAUUCGAUGCAACGCGAAAAAGCCUUACCUACCUUGACAUGUCUGGAAUCCAAAGAGAUUUGGGGUGCUCGCAAAGAACCGGAACACAGGUGCUGCAUGGCUGUCGUCAGCUCGUGUCGUGAGAUGUUGAGUUAAGUCGCAACGAGCGCAACCCUUUGUCAUUAGUUGCUACCCGAAGGGCACUCUAAUGAGACUGCCGGUGACAAAACCGGAGGAAGGUGGGGAUGACGUCCAGGUCCUCAUGGCCCUUGGGUAGGGCUUCACGUCAUGCAAUGGUGCGGGACGGAGAGAUUCCCGCCAACCCGCGAGGGAGCCAAUCCAGAAACCCGAUCGUGGUCAGAUCCGCAGUCUGCAACUCUCAGCCUGCGCGUGAAGUCGGAAUCGCUAGUAAUCGCGGAUCAGCAUGUCGCAGUGAAUACGUUCCCAGGUCUUGUACACACCGCCCGUCACACCAUGGGAAUUUAGGUUUUACAAGUAGUUAGCCUAACCGUAAGGAGGGCGAUUACCACGGUAGGAUUCAUGACUGGGGUGAAGUCGUAACAAGGUAGCUCUCGGCUACCUG